UUGAAAGGGAAACGAUUGAAGUCAGUCGUACCGACGAGAAAUCAGCUUUUCGAAUGUGCAUUUGUGGGCGUAUGAGAUCUUCAUUGUUUGCAAUAUGUAUGUUUCUUUGGUGUACUUUUUCGUAUGGUAGGUCAACGUCGGUUUUGGUCGCCAUAAAAUGAUCGGAGGAAUGUAGCUUCGACCUCGGUUGAAGUGUUAUAGCCUUUGGUAAAUGUGGUGAUUAGGACCGAGGAUUGCAACGAAUACCUUUUAGGCUAUCCGUCUGACCUCUGAAAGUUACUUAGGUAUCGAAAGCUUGCUUACGGUCAUUUAAGUUGACGGUCAAUAGGUUAGAACGUGAUUACAUUCGUUAAGGAUGUUGACGUA
rnacentral:rRNA from 1 species